rnacentral:rRNA from 1 species
UCGAGCGGAUGAGUGGAGCUUGCUCCAUGAUUCAGCGGCGGACGGGUGAGUAAUGCCUAGGAAUCUGCCUGGUAGUGGGGGACAACGUUUCGAAAGGAACGCUAAUACCGCAUACGUCCUACGGGAGAAAGUGGGGGAUCUUCGGACCUCACGCUAUCAGAUGAGCCUAGGUCGGAUUAGCUAGUUGGUGGGGUAAAGGCUCACCAAGGCGACGAUCCGUAACUGGUCUGAGAGGAUGAUCAGUCACACUGGAACUGAGACACGGUCCAGACUCCUACGGGAGGCAGCAGUGGGGAAUAUUGGACAAUGGGCGAAAGCCUGAUCCAGCCAUGCCGCGUGUGUGAAGAAGGUCUUCGGAUUGUAAAGCACUUUAAGUUGGGAGGAAGGGCAGUAAGUUAAUACCUUGCUGU